GCCUAACACAUGCAAGUCGAAGGAGAAGGGUGGUGCUUGCACCACCUGGAGACUGGCGCACGGGUGAGUAACGCGUAGACAACCUGCCUAUAACUGGGGGAUAACAUCGGGAAACCGGUGCUAAUACCGCAUACAAUGCUGAGCUCGCAUGAGCUUAGGAUGAAAAACUUCGGUUGGUUAUAGAUGGGUCUGCGUGCCAUUAGCUAGUUGGUGGGGUAAAAGCCUACCAAGGCAGUGAUGGCUAGGGGGUCUGAGAGGAUGAUCCCCCACACUGGGACUGAGACACGGCCCAGACUCCUACGGGAGGCAGCAGUGAGGAAUCUUGCGCAAUGGGGGAAACCCUGACGCAGCCACGCCGCGUGCUGGAAGAAGGCCCUAUGGGUUGUAAACAGCUUUUACAUGGGAAGAAUGUACGGGUUUCGACCUGUAUUGACGGUACCAUAUGAAUAAGCACCGGCUAACUCCGUGCCAGCAGCCGCGGUAAUACGGAGGGUGCAAGCGUUGUCCGGAAUCAUUGGGUGUAAAGGGUGCGUAGGCGGAUGCCUAAGUCCGAGGUGAAAUCUUGCCGCUUAACGGUAAAAUUGCCUUGGAUACUGGGUGUCUUGAAUCUGACAGAGGUCGGUGGAAUUCGUGGUGUAGCGGUGAAAUGCAUAGAUAUCACGAAGAACAUCAGUGGCGAAGGCGGCCGGCUGGGUCAGUAUUGACGCUGAGGCACGAGAGCGUGGGGAGCGAACAGGAUUAGAUACCCUGGUAGUCCACGCUGUAAACGAUGUAUGCUAGUUGUUGGGCCUUCGGGUUCAGUGACGCAGUUAACGCAGUAAGCAUACCACCUGGGGAGUACGUUCGCAAGAAUGAAACUCAAAGGAAUUGACGGGGGCCCGCACAAGCGGUGGAGCAUGUGGCUUAAUUCGAUGCAACGCGAAGAACCUUACCCGGGCUAAAUCCUGGCCGACCGGUCCCGAAACGGACCUUCCCUUCGGGGCGACCAGGAAGGUGCUGCAUGGCUGUCGUCAGCUCGUGCCGUGAGGUGUUGCCUUAAGUGGCGCAACGGGCGCAACCCCUGUGGUUAGUUACCAGCACGUAAUGGUGGGGACUCUAGCCAGACUGCCUACGCAAGUAGUGAGGAAGGUGGGGACGACGUCAAGUCAUCAUGGCCCUUAUGUCCGGGGCUGCACACGUGCUACAAUGGAUGGUACAGAGGGAAGCUACCCAGCGAUGGGAUGCAGAUCUCGAAAGCCAUUCCCAGUUCGGAUUGGAGUCUGCAACUCGACUCCAUGAAGGUGGAAUCGCUAGUAAUCGCGUAUCAGCAAUGACGCGGUGAAUACGUUCCCGGGCCUUGUACACACCGCCCGUCAAGCGAUGGAAGUCAGGAGUACCUGAUGUCACCGUGCUAAUCCCGAUUUAUCGGGAAGGCAGGUGCCUAGGGUAAGCUUGGUAACUGGCGCUAAGUCGUAACAAGGUAGCCGUACCGGAAGGUGCGGCUGGAUCACCUCCUUA
rnacentral:rRNA from 1 species